AUAUUGAAAAAGGAAAUUAGACGUUGCCAAGACAAUCAGCACUGGUAAUAUGUAAGGUACUUUGCAAUUCUCUCAACUUUUCCUUCUCUGGAAUCACAGCUUUUCUUCCUGGAUGACAUUACUCUGGUACUCAAUAGAGGUGUGUUCUCAGAUCAUUUAACAUUAGGCCUUUAAGCUUUUAUCCAGUGUCAUUUUAAGAAAUAGGUAAACAACAACUUUAAACUCUCUGUAGGGCAUUCCCAUCAUGCUCAGUGGCUAACAAACCUGACUAGCAUCCAUGAGGACGAAGGUUCAACCUCUGGCCUUGCUCAGUGGGUUAAGGAUUUGACGUUGCCGUGAACUGUGGUGUAGGUUGCAGAUGUGGCUUGGACCUCUCAUUGCUGUGGCUGUGGUGUUGGAGGGCAGCUCCAGCUCCAAUUCAACCCCUAGCCUGGGAAUCUCCAUAUGCCUCAGGUGCAGCCCUAAAAAGACAAAAUAAAUUCUCUGUAAAACUGCCAUAGACAUUCAUUAUAAAGAAAAACCUUGCAAAUAAUUUCCACUUCAACUUUAGUCCAUGCUUGGCCUUGCUUUAGUUUGGCUGUGCUUUCUUUUAUCAAUUAAUGAAAGCCACAGAAUGCAUUAUAUGUUUCUUUUUGCCUUCACUGUCUGGAAUUUCAGAAUUUUGUCUUCUGCUCAAUUUAAAAAAUCCCUCCUAACCUAGGUUUCCUGGAUUAAUUCCCAUUCCGUGACCCCUUUUCCCAACCACCACCAGAUUGUUCUUUCUCUGAUUUAUUUACACCAUCUUGGUUUUGAAGGGGAUCUUUUAUGAUCCCCUCAAAACCUCCCAGAAGUGAGGAGAUAUAAAAAUUAGUUAUUCCAGAUUACCUCAGAAUGUUUCAGGAGUUCUCUUUUGGCACAGUGGGUUAAGGAUCCUGUGUUGUUACUGCAGCAGCUCAGGUUGCUGCUGUGGUGCAGGCUCCAUCCCUGGCCCAGGAACCUCCACACACCAUGGGCACAGCCCACCCCCCACCCCCCAAAAAAGUUUUUUUCUUUCCAUCUUCCUUAAACAGUAUCUGUGAUCUUUUUUAGUUUUGUCAUCUGUUCAGGUGACAUUCACUUUCAAGAUUCCCAGAGGGCUGCCCAGAGUUGUGCACGAUCCCUGCAAGCUUGGCUCUGUCCCAGUCUUUCCCCUAGAGACAGCAUAGCUAGUCCAGUGUAUUACUGUUUCAUGAGUCACUCACAAACUUCAGGACUUGAUUAGUAACACCUGAUUCCUUGAACACCUUGCAGCUGUGGGGGCCCCACCCAGCGCCAGGACCCUUGGUGCAGUGCAGCUGCUCUGGGAUGUGCCAGGACACCACAGCUCAUGACUCAUCCCUUAUUUUCCCUCAACCCGGGAACCUCCAUAUGCCGCAGGAGCGGCCCAAGAAAUGGCAAAAAGACAAAAAAAAAAUAAAAAAUAAAAAAAAAUAAAAAUAUUGGUGCCUUGGUUCUCAAAGUGUGGUCCCUGGGCCUGCAGCUCGGUUUAACCUUGCAUCUUCCUUGUCAAAAAUACAGAUUUCUAGACCCUACCCUGGACCUAUUGAAUCAGAUCCUUGGGGAGUAGAACUCAGCAAAGCAAGUCCUCUGGGUGGGCUGAUGUCCAAGAAAGUCUAAGAUCCAUUGCUCCAAAUUAAGGCAGUGUGCUGAGACCACCUCAUCCUCAAUACAAUGCCUGGAGACCGAGGCUGACCUAGAGGACCUGCCUAUCCAUUUACCCCGAGCAGUGAACCACUAGUACACUAGACUCCCUAAGACCCUAAUGUGCUGUGAUUCCAUCAGUCCAUCUUCACCCAGCCCCAAGGAAAGCCAAGCCCCUACCAGAAAUCUCUUUAUUAAAUGCUGAAGGACAUCCAAGCUAAGAUAGCCCAAUCUGUACAUUUCAUGGUGGGGAUCAUGAAACCAUGAACCAAAAAUACUGAGGUCCUCUGAACCCAUAAUACCCAGAGUCCACUGGCUACAGCCCCUCCCCCAAGCUCCUCACUCAGGAUCUCUACCACAGGCCUGCAGGCACUAAAACUGCUCCCUUCCCCUGGGCAUGGCGGGAUGGGUACAGCUACCCCUUGCCUCGGUGCCUCUCCUUUUUCUCUGUUCCUACCAUCCUGCUCUCUCUCCCAUAAUUGGUGCAUCUGUCUUUUACCAAUACACUUCAGAAGGCUUUAGUUGGAUAUUGCAGAGCUACUCUGUCCCUUCUAGUGACUCUCUCGAGUGUUCUGACCCCUGAUGUGAUGCUCGGAUGCUCGCAGGCCUGCAUGUCUGUCUGGAGGGGAAAGCAAGCAGGGGGCCAGUUGCCUUUGUGCCCAGGGUCCCCUCUGCACUUCUGAAGGCUUCAAAAAGCAAAAGCUUUAUAUUAGAUGAGAGAUCAAAGCUCUGAUGCGAGACUGAACUGGACUUUCCAGACCUAAAAUGAGAUGUUUCUUAAUACCUGAAAGUGACCAGAAAAGCUUUAGGACACGCCCAGCAUGUCACUCUAAAAUGGUGAAGAAUAAUUCAAGAGAAGGUUUAAAAGGGUUAGGAUAAGAGAAAAAUUAAAUUGUUUAUUUUUUAUAACUGAGUCCAACUUGAUCAAAUAUGUACAACACUCACUAUUGAGGGAAAAGGACUUGAUAUUUUUAUUGUAAGUUUCCAAUUUAUUUUUAUAUCUUAUUAAGUAGAAAUGAAAGGAUGGUAAAUUGGUUUUCAAAUGCAUUCUUUAAAACCACUAACAGCAGUGGGACAGGGGCGUAAGGAACAUGUGUUAAUGAUCUAUUGCUAUUGUAACAAAUUACCACAAACUGAGUGGCCUAGAGUGACACAAAUUUAUUAUUUUACAGCUCUACAGGUCAGAGAUCUGAAAUGGGUUUCACUGGGCUAGUUAGGUUGUGGGCAGGGCUGAUUCCUUCUGGAGGUGCCAGGAGGAAUCUCUUUCCUUACUUUACCAGCUUCUAGAGGCUGCACCCCUUGGAGCAGAGCCCCUCCCCCACGUUCAAAGCCAGCAGCAGAGCGUCUUCCAGUCUCUCUGACUCUGCCUCUCCUGCCUCCCUCUUUCACUGCUAAGGAUCCUUGUGUCUGUAGGAUUAUCACCCAGAUAAUCCAGAAUGAUCUUUCAUCUCAAGAUCUUUAAUCUUGGAGGAGUUCCCAUAGCGGCUCAGCAGAAACGAACUGACUAGAAUCCAUGAGGAUGCAGGUUCGAUCCCUGGCCUGGUUCAGUGGGUUAAGGAUCCGACAUUGCCAUGAGCUGUGGCCGCAGACAUGGUUUGGAUCUGGCAUUGUUGUGGCUGGGGCAUAGGCUGGUGGCUAUAGCUCCAAUUCAACCCCUACUGUGUAAAGUGAUGUAUUCACAGUUUCCAGGAUUAGAGGAUGGACAUCUGGUGGGGCAGGGGGCAGUGUUCUGCCUGGCACAGCGCUGACCCAGGUCCCUGAGCUGUGGUCUGUCUCUCAGAGGACCCUUCACCUUUGCCUGCUGGUUAGCCAAGCAAGACAGUGGCCUCAAGGAAGAAAGCUCUGUGUAAUCUUAGGAAAACAUAUAAUCCAUCCAUACUUCAGUUUCUUCAUCUGUGAAAUUUUAGAAUUGGCUGUUCUCUAAGGUGUCUUCCAAAUCUAAACCCUAUGUUCCUCAUCUCUUUGGAAAAAUAAGCAUUUGAAGAAAUCUGGUUGCUUAAGAAACCAAACUGAUGUUGUUCCCGUGCCGUUGGCGGGUCCUAUGGCCCCACCCUGGGGAGGCUCUACCAGCCCAUGUGGUGGGAGCCAGGGAGGGAGCAGGUGGCCCUCUGCUUUCCCAAAGGCAGAAGAGGGACCCAGGAGGCACAGGUGGGUGUCUGUGGCUGAGAGGCCUCUCCAGGGGAAGACAAUGCAUUGUUCUAGCCCUCUCUGCUGAGUCACCAUUAAAGGCCCUGGGUGAUGGUGCCAAUCUCAGAAAUGGCUGCUGACUCAGAGCUACCCGAGGGGUCCAGGGAAGCACCUGGACCUGCUGGGCCUGCUCCUCUCACGUGGGCACACAGACCCCUUCCGACCUCCCUGGAGCCUCAGGCUCUUAGGAUCGCAGUUCUCAGGACACUGGACAUCCUUCCCUGUCACGUGACAUGGAGCUGUCUUGGGUUUAGACUCUCCAGUUACUCCGAUGAAUCACACUGUUUUGGUGGCUUCCUUCCCUCUCUGGUCUGGCCCUUAAAAUUAGGUUCACUUUGUACCCUCAGCCCCAUGAGCCUCAGAGAGACACCCCAGGUUGUCAAGACUGCUCUGGGCCACCUAUUCCUUCCUUUCCCAAGGUAGUGCCACCUAUCAGCAAGAGCUCUGGGCCAUAGACCGAGAAACCAGGGCUUGCUGUUCCUGUCCUCUGAGCUGCUGUGGGGCAUUUGGCAGUCACACCAUCCCUGUGGGCCACAUGGAGGUUUAACAAUAUUUCCUCCAAAGUCCUUUCCAGCGGCAAUACGAAGGGCUCUGAGGCGAUCCUCCUGAAAGUCCUCUUUGGUUCUGGAAGUCAGUCAUCCUCUCUCAUAGAAUUUCUGAAUAUGGUGGGUCUGGCUCAGCUUAAAGAAAACCAUGGCUAUGCCUUCCUUGGAUUAGCUUUUCCUGUGGCUCUCGUCGGCAGUGUCUGUCCCCCUGCCAGGAAGGUGCUGAUCCACAGCCUCAGGAAUGCCCAGCACUCUGCUCAGGGCCCCUUUCCUUUCCUGUGCAGAUUUCUCAGUCCCGCUUGUCCCACCCAGUCUAGACUAGAUGGUUGCCUCUGUGCGCCAAUCCCUUGGGGGUCACUGUGGAGGUCGGAAACCGAACUGUGACUUACUCUUCACCCCAGUGACAAGCCUUUCAUUCCUCCUUCCUAGUUGGGCCUGCCUAACCAGACCAGCACCAGGGUGAGAGGGGAGAAACUUCUGCUGUGUAGUAACCCUGAGGGCGGGCGCUACUCAGUGGGUGGAUGUCACCUCUGUCCCUGGAAGCUCUGGGACAUCCAGGGCCCCACCCACCUCUCCAGGGCCUAGGUAUAAGGCCUUGUACCCCUGCCUCAAGCCCAGCCAGUUUGCCAAAGUUCCAGAACUUUCUUGGACACUUUGAACUAUACAGGUGCUCUCUGAAAGAGAACAGAGUUGCCUUCUGCCUCAUCCAUUUCAGAGUCAGCUGGUGUCUUGUGUCCC
rnacentral:lncRNA from 1 species